rnacentral:rRNA from 1 species
UACGUAGGGGGCUAGCGUUGUCCGGAAUCAUUGGGCGUAAAGCGCGUGUAGGCGGUUCGGUAAGUCCGCUGUGAAAGUCGGGGGCUCAACCCUCGAAUGCCGGUGGAUACUGUCGGGCUAGAGUGCGGAAGAGGCGAGUGGAAUUCCUGGUGUAGCGGUGAAAUGCGCAGAUAUCAGGAGGAACACCAAUUGCGAAGGCAGCUCGCUGGGACGCUACUGACGCUGAGACGCGAAAGCGUGGGGAGCAAACAGGG